rnacentral:snoRNA from 1 species
AGGGAUGAUGAAAAAAUCCGACAAACCUAGGAAUUCCUCAUUCAGAAUACAUCAUGUAGAUUGUUUAGUUUCAGCCUUGUCUGACC